GCGGGAAUAGCUCAGUUGGUAGACCCCGACCUUGCCAAGGUCGGGGUCGUGAGUUCUAGUCUCGUUUCCCGCUCCA
rnacentral:tRNA from 1 species